rnacentral:misc_RNA from 1 species
GUUACCACCUGCUUACCUUUAUUUACCCUCUACAGCCUCAUCCAAACAGAGCCUUCAAGAGAAUCACACAUCAUCCGACCCAUCACUGCCCACAACACCAAAGACAAGGAGGCAAGGAGAGAACGACUAAUAUCUUUCGUUCUUUAUAUAUUACUCACUGAGAGAUCCCAUUUUCAUCAAAUCAAAAUUUCCCAGAUCCAAAAAUCGCUGCUCAUCUCCCCACUAACAAUGGGAUUCCCAUCAAACGGCACGGCAUCAGAUACCAGCAAGCCACUCAAGUUCCUCAUCUACGGCCGCACCGG